UACGGGGGGGGCAAGCGUUGUUCGGAAUUACUGGGCGUAAAGGGCUCGUAGGCGGCCAACUAAGUCGGAUGUGAAAUCCCCAGGCUUAACCUGGGAACUGCAUCCGAUACUGGAUGGCUUGAAUCCGGGAGAGGGAUGCAGAAUUCCUGGUGUAGCGGUGAAAUGCGCAGAUAUCAGGAAGAACACCCGUGGCGAAGGCGGUUCUCUGGGACGGUACUGACGCUGAGACGCGAAAGCGUGGGGAGCAAACAGG
rnacentral:rRNA from 1 species